UAAUAACCAUUAAUGGCAUCUCAGCCAAUUAUUUUCCCUGAAGAUCUCACCAUACCAUUUGGCAUCUCACCAAAUUUUUAAAAUUACCAAAUUCAGUAACUGAAUUUGGUAAUUUUAAAAAUGCUGGCUAUAUUAUUUUUGUUUUAAAGUCUCUGCAGCAAUUUGUACAUUAAUUCUCCUUUCACAAGCAGGAGAGAUUUUGAGAACUGGCUUUUCCUUGAUGUUUGUCAAAGGGAACUAAUUUUUUAUUCAAUAAUACAUUUUUUCUUUCAAAUCACCCAGAAAUUUUAAUAUACUUGCUCUGUUACAGAAUAAGAAAAUGACUGUUUAUCCCAAUGGAUAUUUUUUUCAGGGAAAAAAAAAACCCUCUUUGCUUAUUUGAGGAUUUAAACAUGAAUUCUAGUUUCUUCUCAGCUCUCUGUCUUGUGAUGCUCCUUGUCAGAUUAAUGUGUUUUAAAGCUGUUGGUUGGUACCUGAGCUGCCAAAAAAGAAGAUUAAAACCACACCUUUCAUUUUGGGGGACUCAUUUUGCAUUGCAAAAUACAGAGGAAGAGAAAGCAAACCUUUCCUGCUUACUGCUGGCAUGCAUCUGAGGCUGGCUAUGUGUGCCAUUAUGUUUGGGGUUAGGAAGAAAUUUCAGUUUCUGUCAGCCCUGGAUAUUCACACUAGAACAGAUUCAAGAUCCUGAAAUGGUUUUUGUUUUGUGAGGAACAGAAUGUACAGAAAUGAGGGGUCAUGGGUUUGAUUUUUAUCUCAGGCACAAACGGGGCGUGUGACUCAGGACAGAAAUAAUUUCUCUCUGCUUCCUUCAGGAGACUGGGACUGUUCCAUUUGCCUUCCAAUGCAGUGGAUACACUUACCUUGUACAGUUAAUAACUAGAUUAUAUAUUUAUAUUAACUUUUUAAUUUUCAUGAAGUUUUCAGCUAGGAAAAGAGAGAGAGACAAUGUAUUAAUGUAAUUAAUACUAACAAAGUACUUUUUUCCAGAUAUAAUUUCAGAAGAAAUUGCUGAGCAAAUCCUCAGUGUAUUUUUACACAAAUAUAAAUAAUUUCUGAAAGAAAUACAGAGGAUAACCCAUGAGUUCAAGCAACAGGGAGGCAUUCUGCAGCAGCUCCCUUUGGUCCCAGGUUCUGAUGAGACCAUCAAGGCUGGCCAAGGCCCAUAAACACUGCAGAGGUUUGGAGUGAUCUUGUUCACCAGUGCCACUAAUCCAGUUUUAAAUCAAUUUUUCAGAACCUGGCUCCUUUUCUCCUCUCAGUCUGAGUAAUAAAGUGCAUUCAGGGGAGAUGAUGCACAUGAGAAAGUGCUGCUCAUUUCACAGGGCUUGAAGAAUAAUCCAGGACUAUAUAUUUCUCUAGUGUUUCAGUUAGUGUUUAAGUGAUUCAGCCAUCAUUUUGGCUAUUGCACUUAUUAUAGAAGGUGCUUGAUUUUGAUCUAAUAUGUUCUGAAGUCUUUUAAGACCAUUUUUUUACAGUUUCUUAAAGUAAGAGCCUGUUCCACUCUCAAUGACCAUAAAUAACUCACUUUUCUGCAUAUGGAUAUAUCACCAUAUCUUGCAGACAGGUCAGUUUUUUACAUGGAGCAAAAAAAACCUGAUGUGGGAAAAAAACCUGGAUAAAACAGUGAAAUCAAACAACAGCAGAUCCCUAUGCACAUAUGAUGGAUAGGCAUACUUUAAUGAAAAAUUAAGCAUUUAAAAUCCAGAUCUUGCCUCUGUGCUUCUUUUGUUGAAAUUACAAAACAUGCCAAUUUUUCCAUUCAUGCCAAAUACCAACUAGGAAGACAAUAAAAAAAACCAACCAAAACAAGAGAGACCCUUAUUGUCACUGGCAGAAGGGUUUCUUUCACUGGGGUAUAAUGAAAUGACCUGGCUUUUUUUGGGUAAGGUUUUGGCUGCUUGAAGUCAGCACAUUUUCAGUGUGUGUUUUUGUAGGCGCUGUUUAGGAAAGGACAGGCUGACCACAGAUUUCCAGAGAUUCUAUGUUGGAUUUUGCUGACAGGCAAUAUUUUGGUUCUUAUAAAUAAUUGGAUCUUAUAAAGAAUCAUUUGCUCAAUUUUGAUAUGUCCCACAACUUUCUCAAAUUGUUGUUUAGUGCUAAAAUAAGAUUGUAAUUGAAUUAGUUGCAGGUUUUUGAAGAAAUAUUUUUUGUUACAUUGAGCGUGAUGAACAGUGAUUUUGUUUGUAUGUGCAACAGGUCACUUCUGUGAACAGAUUUCUUCCAGACUGAAAAAUGCCAACCAAAACUGUGAAUGCAUUUGGACCAGGUCACAUUGAAAAAAUAUAAAAGUAUGUUCAAUUAUGCAAUAUACAAUUUCCCUUUCUCCUUCUGUCCCAGGUGGGUGUUGUGUGACAGGAUGGAGUGUGCCUGGUUACCAUAGGAAUGCAACAUGCAAGGAAGAUUCUAAAUAGAAAGCAGUUAAUCUAACUAAGCAUCUUUUGGUGCCACUGCCUCAUUCUUUAAAUCCUUAACACCUAUAACAUUUAAAAGGCAGAUAUUUGGAAAUAAGCUUUACCCAGCAAAGUUACAGAACCCUGAGAAAACACCUGGAGGAAAGGCAAGUGUGUAAAUGUGCAGCUCAGGGGGGAUCAGUGUUUUUAUCUCUUACAAGAGACACACAAUUCCUGUCAGCUGCAGAGCUGAUGGGAUCUGAACAAGGCUUUUCAUGCCCGUUGCCUUCCACUCUUCAUCAGUUCUGCUCUGUCAUGGUUAAUGUUCUCCCUUGCAGCAACCUUAAUUGUUUUUUGAGGGUUAGAAGAGUGAUCAUAAUCGCUGCUGUUAUGGAUUUAAUUCUGAUCUGCAAAGAGACUGUGCUGUGAGCAAACGUUUUCAUUUUGAGCACUUAAAUCAAUGGUUUUCAAUUACAAAUAGAGAACACAGGAGCUGGAAAUGUUCCUUACCAGAGGGUAGAUCCUGCCCCUAUUUGUCACUCACAUUGCUUAUUUUUCAGGCAUUCACAGUUGAAAUUCUGAGCUCUGGAAAUAAAGGAUGUGGUAUCUUGUUGUGGUGUUGUGAGGGUCCUCAGGAUGAGGGGAAGAAAUCCUGGCAAAGGGAUUUUUCAGGAACUAUCGUGGUGACAGUAUCUACAAAAAAAACAUUCCACUUGUGGAUGAUCUCUAACUAAUUGCAGUGUGGAAUUGUUUUGUGCCUACAUCCUGGCAAUGCCAUGGGGGAACCUCCAGGGAAGCAGCUGCUGAUUAUGGCAAUGUAUCAGGGGAAAUCCCAUCCCUUGAAAGAACGCAUAGCCAGGAGCAUCACUUCAUUAAAACAACUCCACUUAAACUGAGCUUCUCGUUGCGAAAUUCAGAGUACUGAGACAAUACCAGCAGUAGAAAAAAGAAUGAAAACUCCCAGCUGAAAUAAUGCCCAGAAAUUGCAUUCACUCAGUGCCAAAGACCUGUGGAUGGCUGCAGUCUGACAAAGCUCUUCACUGAGCUAGUUCAGCUAUGGAGUUGGAUUUCAAAACAAGAAGAAAGAGAAAAGAAAGAGAACUGGAAGGAGUUCAUGCAGUCGUGACUGCCAGCAGCAGCAAUCCCAGUGUGCCCUGACCUGGAGGAAGGCUGCUCUCUGCAAGGGCUGAGUACUGUGUUCAGAAGUAACACCCAAGGAGCCCAAAGGAUGAAUCCCACAGCUGUGCCCAGAGCCUUCCUCGGACUUAAGUGCACUUCUGGAUCAUUUGGUACCCAAGGGAAACCCUCCCUUAAAUGAGCAGAGCACCUCCAUUCCAUUUGUGCUGGACUUCCCUGUGAGCAGAGUCCUGGGGAACUGACCUUCCUGCAGUAACUCUCAUAAAUUCUCUGGUAAACCAGACCAAGUGGUUCAUGCACAGAUAGAGAAACUAAGGUGAUAAGUAAGAAAGGGAAGAGCAUGACACAUUCUGAUUUAUGGACAAAUUCUAAUGACAUACCCUGCUGAAAUCUAUAAUCUUUCAAAAGUGAUGAAAUGAGCAGAGCAGUCCAAAGCGACAAAAGGUUCAGAGUGGAUCCUGGCACAGGAUCCACUACACUCACGUGCAGCCACACAAGCUGCAGAGGAAUUUGGCACAAAUAACCCCCUGCAGCACAUGGAACACAGCUCUGCUUGUCUGGUGUAGAAGGAUUUAUAAGUGCAUAUGAUGGGCUGCUGCUGUUCCAGGCAUCUCUCAGAUGGUCAGUGGGAUGAUGAGACAAACACCUGUUUGUUUGCAGUCUCUAUAAUCUGUACCACGCUUGCAGAUGGUGCCCUGCACAGUUCUGUGAGGAGAUGUGAAUUACCUGGCUGACUGGAUGGUCCGUGCUUGUGGUUUACAGGUUGGAACAAUUGAGUGCCUGUAACCAACUCUAAAAUGCCACCAAUGGAACAAUAUCAUGACUGGAGCUGCCCAGUGUCCUUCAGAUUAACAAGUGGCUCUGUAAGUACUGUCCUGGUGGGAAUUCUAAAAGGCAAAGCCAGCUCCUGUGGAUGGUGGGAGCUUGGUCAGCAAAUGACAUGGUGGUAAAGAAAAAGCUUUUGUGCUUAGGAAUUGUUCUAUGGCUGUGUUCAGUUUGAACUUCUCUCAUGUUUUUUGUGAUUUAUAUAUAUAUAUUUCUAAACAAAGAUAAACUGUCAGCCCUCCUAAAAGGGCUCAUACAUGCCCCUUUGGAACAAAGCAUUAAAUCCCCAAUCCAUCUGUGCUGCAGGAGACUCAGAUUUGCCAAGCACUGCUUCAAAACUCAGGCUGGUGAGACUGGUCAGUGAUGCACUUUAGAGAUUUAAAAUAUCUUGCUUCUACCUUGCAGCCUGUGGUUUUAAUCUUCUGUGGAGCUGUGCUGAACAGAGCAGCUGGCCUGUAAUUGGGGGAGAUUGCUGCAGCCAUUUAUCUCUGUGGGUGUUACUCCUGUUCUCAGCAUUAUUGCAGUUAAAAUGGUUAUCAUUUUCAUCCAUAGUGUCUUCCUAAGACAAAAAUAAGCAUGUGCCACUUACCUUUUAAGUGUUAUUGAAUCAUUUUUGAAUCAUUUCAGUAUAGAAUGAUUUACUUGUUUUUUUUCCUUGUUUUUUUUUUUCCUGCUGAUCCGUGACCAUAGCCCAGGAGCAGUUGUGCAUUGGUAUCACUCUCACGCUAUUUAGCAGAAAGAAGAAAGGCCUAAAUAAGCUUAAAAGUUUCUGAUGACCAUGACUGGAGUGUCAAAAUCCUUUAACAAUCAAAAAAAAAUUAAAAUUAUUUUAUAACCGUGCAUCUAAAUUCUACAGGUUAUUCAGCUCUUGUUAAACUGCCUGCUUUUCAUGCCAUAUUACUGUUUUCUUCUACCUCUGAAUGGCCCUGGGCAGGGGCCCUUUUGUUGAGUCAGUCAUUUCCUAACUCACGAAAUUGGGAAGCCAUAGGGGAUGGUCAGAAUUCAGGUGAGUUUUGGCAGAGGGCUUGUACAAACAGAUUAGGGUAUGAAAAAUCUGAUUUCAAUCAUUAUCUGUAGAAAAUAUUUCUAGUGGGACCUUAUAUGGUCCAAUUAUCAGUCUGGGUGUGAUCUGCAUCUGCCAAGGUUAAUAAGGGUGUUUCUUUUGACUUUGGUGAACUUUAGCAUCCUCAUCCCUUAAGUGGGGCCAUUGCUGUCUUGUUUGUCUUCUCUUUCUAACAAACUGGCAAUGCCUAAUGUACAUUUAGGAAAAACAAAACACUUGUGGCUGUGGCAGCACACAAGUAAUGCUAUUAAUGCAGGAAGAAAAACCUUCUGAAGGUCAAGUUACCACACAUCCAAACUCCGGAAAGCAUUUGUCAUGCCCUGGGAAUUGAGCUGAAAUCUGACCCAUCUUGGAGAACAAAUCACCACAGAAAGAACACAUUAGGAUAUCUCUCCCUGUGGAGCUGAUUUCCUGGAAGCAGCAUUAGGUAUGGUGUGGAUGAUGGUGUUCUGGGAGGAGGUUUGUGACUGAAAAGCAGCAGGGAAGAGCAGGAAAUGCAGGAGAGCUCACAGAGGGAGGGAGGGCAGCUCAGGGGAAAGCUGGACCCCUCUUCAGGUGUGUCCUCAUAAAUGGCAGCACGUGGACCUCAUUCUCAAAGAUUUAAUGCCUCUACUUUACAUUGUAAUGUACAAAUAAUAUCAGCUCCAUUAAGACUUUAAAAUAGGAAGGAAGAGGAUGAGUAAUCCUGAUGUUGCUCCCAUAUUAGAGCUCCUUGUACUGCAAACUCCACGUAAGUAAAAAAUGAGAACAUUUGACUGUUUCAUAAAGCAAAGCAUGUUUGAUAGUGCUAUAUCAUAAAACCCUUAUCUUUUGGACAGCUGAGUGUGGUAGUUGUAAAAGUGUCUGAUUUAUGCUAGGAAUUCUCUGUGUUCAUAAGUUGUAAUUGCUUUUAUUACUUGUAACUCAGAGCAGGUGUGCAUAGAAAGAAAUCAGUAAUUUCUCCUCUGGCCACAUGAUUUCAUGUAACCCAGCCAAGCCCCUCUGCACACAGAAAGAAAGCAAAGCCCCAGGAUGAAAGCUCUGCCUGGGAUUACCUGGAAUUAAAUGGUGAACACAAAAAGGGGAUUAAUAAGAAAAUAGCUGAGGGCUAGCACAGGUCUUGUCCCCUGAAUAGAGUCUAAGACACAGCCUUAUACCCUGGUGGGUCUGUUCUGUGCCUCUUUAGCCAUUUCUGUUCUAAUGGUUUGUGCUAAUGUGGGCUGGAACAAAUGUAAUGGAUGUAGGGAGUAGGAAAAAAAAAGCCCCUUCUGUUCUAAUGUUCAGUUUAAAGUGAUUUUCAGACAAAAAGAAAGCUGAAUAUAUAGUGCACAAUACAGUUCUAGCUAAGGUAAGGAGCUGGCUUGGAAGAGAAGGUGGCUGAGACUGAAAGCAAACACAGCGCAAGAGAAAUGUGAAGGGCUGUUUUAUAAACUGUGUACUUCUUCUGCUCUGUCACUUUAUUCAUAAUUCUCUGUCUUUAAGGUAAAUAUACAUACAGCAUGGAUAUUUUUUUUCCAUUUUUCUUUUGCCAUUUGUAUACUUUAUGCAAACCAUUUCUUUUCAAUAGUGUUUUGCCUUUCUUUCCAUGGCAACAAAGAGCCAAGGCUCCUUUGCUAAAGCAAUGCAGUCCUUCACACAACAUCCUCUCUGUGCUGAGGUGGGGACAAAUCCACACCUGGGGUUAGCACUGCUGACAUCCCUGACCAAUAUUGAUGAUAAUGAGGCAGUUCCUAGCAAGGCAUUAUUAAUAAGAUGGUGUCACCCACAGCAAGUGAUGCUCUAAGUUUUAUUACACUAAGUCAACCUUAAAAUUUUCAAAUCAUUUACAGCUUUAUCACACUUUUUCAGGAGUUGUUAUUGCUCAGCCAUUCUUCCUUUUCAUCCUCUCAGCUUCUCAGAUGAGAAAAGAUCUUUGAUGCUUCCAUUUUCUCACUCUGUGAAUGGAUCAAAGAGCCCAAAAUGCACAAGGCUUUGAAACAGGAGGAGCCCUGGAAGAGGGAGAUUACAGUCAGAUAGAACACACUGGUCUGGUUCUCUAGUUGAUAUUUGUGAGCAUGAAAGCAUUAGGGACAAGUAACAAGGGCAUUUUUAGAUAAAAUAUUAAAAGUAAUAAUAAAAAAGUUAAUUUUGUCCUAAAUACCACUGUAAUAUUAUGUCUUGCAGUGAAUUUCUAACUAUUGUGAAGUGCUAAUCAGUUUUCUUUCCUGCCAAAGGAUCCAUAGUCUAAGGAGACUCUUGAGUGGCAGCCUAGAUAUGAGAAAUGUUAUUUGAAUUAGGCAUUCUUAUCCAUGUUUAUAGUACUUUCCAGAGGCUCUCUCUCACUUUUAGGCCUUCUUCACAAAAGCACAUGCAAUAAAAAUGUUACUGCUGCCAGCUUGUAUGCCUGAAAGGUCAAUUCUUCUUUUUGUUCUAACUUUAUCAGUUUCUUUAAUAAAAGAUAUUAACUCUCUUCACAAACCUGUCUCACAGAGAGAAGAAAAAUAUCCCCAGCUCCAAAGAAAAUAUCACUUCUAUUUAAUGAUUAAAACAAAUCAGUGUGAGAGAAGACAUAAGGCAGCUACUAGAAAAUUCUGGUUCGGCAUUUAAAUUCCACCCCCUCUGGCUGGGAAUAUGAGAGAAGUUAUCCCUGUGUGACAGGGAGGAGCCAAGCCUGUGCAGGCUUCAUCAGCACAGUGUGCUCUGCAUGGUCACUGCUUGAUUAUUCAAAGGUGUUUGUGGAAAAUAAGUCUAAAGUUCAGCUUUGGGGGCUGAUCAUUCUUUCUGCACCAUUUAAGCACAUCAUCUCAUUUCUAAAUGGUGCUGAUUACAACAAUUCACAGGCAAGCACAGUCAUUUUCUGAAUGGAAGGGUGAGAGAAGUGUGACCCUGUCACAAAGCAAAGCCCACGCUGCAGUGAGCGCUGCUAACACGAGCUGCAGGCUUGGGGGGAGCCUGGUUCCAUGUGUGAUUAAAUGCGUCUCAUUGGUAUAAUGCCUUCACAUUUAAACAGCUUAAUUUUUAAAUCACCAGAUAAUUGUGUAAUUGUGGUGUUUCUGUUGCCUGUGAUGAAUCAGGGUCUCCUGUCUAAUGGUUCUGUGGAAAUAAAAUUGCCUGAAAGCAG